rnacentral:rRNA from 1 species
UACGUAGGGACCGAGCGUUGUCCGGAAUCAUUGGGCGUAAAGAGCGUGUAGGCGGCCAACUAAGUCCUGCGUGAAAUCUCGGGGCUCAACCCCGAGCGGUCGUGGGAAACUGGUUGGCUAGAGUGCGGGAGAGGAGAGUGGAAUUCCUGGUGUAGCGGUGAAAUGCGCAGAUAUCUGGAGGAACACCGGUGGCGAAGGCGGCAUCCUGGACCGGUAUUGACGCUGAGGCGCGAAAGCCAGGGGAGCAAACGGG